AUGCGGCUGGCGUCGUGGAUGCUACCGGCGGACAUCCUGCUGGCGAUCGCCGCGCGCUCCGACGCCAGAACCAUCAUCCGCUGCGCCGCCACCUGCAAGACCCUCCGCCGUGAAAUCGCGGACGCUUCCUUCAUCCGACAAGCUGCCACGGCCGGCGUCGUGCCGACGCAGAUCCUCCUCGCCUACACCCGUCGCCACAGGCGCCGGAACCACCGCCGCAAGCCCUUCGUCUCUCUGGUGCAUCUGGCUACGCCGGCCGCCUCGUGCUUCGCCAACAAGCACCUCGCACCCUUCGUCGCACGGAGCGCCGCCAAUGACCUCCUCGGCCGGUAUGACCCUGUGACUUCACGCGGCGGCCUCAUCGUCCUCGUCCGCCGCCACUAUGUCCACGAGCACAGAAACUCUGAUCUGUGCGUGUACGACCCCAUGACCGGCGACCGCACCUUCCUCUCCAAACCGCCGGGCAUCUCCUUUGACAGGUCUUGUAUUGGAUGCCCUUGUCACCCGUGCGUUCUACUCACUGCUGCAGAUGGCGUAAACGGCUCCUCCUUCCUGCUAUUCUUCGCCCACCGGGCCUGGUGCCAGUUCAAGGGCACAAACUCCAUGAGAAUCCAGACGGCCGCACUGUCCGACAAAGGCAAUGUCAGCUGGGGACCUGUCACUGAACACUUUGGCACCCCGUUAGGGAAUCACCACGAUGAGCAUGAUGACACCGUUGUACUCCCUGGCGGCGUCAUCCACUGGCUCCAACAUGGCAGCCAGAUCCUCACGUAUGACGUCUCGACGAGGAAGCUAGGCACGGUAGAGCUCCCAGCCAUGCCGACCAACAACAAACCAGUCCAGCGUCACCUGAGGAUGUCACCAGACUGGAGGCUACGGUUCCUCGUGUCUGACGUGUUCAUGAUUACCAUGUGGAUACAAUUACCUGGCGGCCAAGGUUGGGAGCAGGAGGUCGUGAUCGAUAUGGAGGAGAAGCUGCGGUUGUUUGAACCAAACGUCCCUCUUGGUAGUAUGUCGAUUCAGUUCAAGCGUUCAGGGGAGAGGAACGACGUGGUCAUGUUGCGGAUACAUGGCUAA
rnacentral:rRNA from 1 species